rnacentral:rRNA from 1 species
UACGUAGGGUGCGAGCGUUAAUCGGAAUUACUGGGCGUAAAGCGUGCGCAGGCGGUUUUGUAAGCCAGAUGUGAAAUCCCCGAGCUUAACUUGGGAACUGCAUUUGGGACCGCAAGGCUAGAGUACGGCAGAGGGGGGUAGAAUUCCACGUGUAGCAGUGAAAUGCGUAGAGAUGUGGAGGAAUACCGAUGGCGAAGGCAGCCCCCUGGGAUAACACUGACGCUUAUGCACGAAAGCGUGGGGAGCAAACAGG